ACGAACGCUGGCGGCGUGCUUAACACAUGCAAGUCGAACGGAAAGUCCCUGCUUUUGUGGUGUGCUCGAGUGGCGAACGUGUGAGUAACACGUGAGUAACCUGCGCUUGUCUUUUGGAUAACUUCAGGAAACUGGGGCUAAUAACGGAUACGAGUUCCUGAUGCAUGGUUUUGGUUGGAAAGUUUCGGCUGAUGGGGAUGGAUUCGCGGCUUAUCGGCUGGCUGGUGGGGAAUUGGCUUGCCAAGGAUUUGACGGGCAGCCGGACUGGGAGGGUGACCGGCCACAUUGGGACUGGGGUGGGGCCCGGACUGCAACGGGAGCCAGGAGCGCGGAAUAGAGCGCGAUGCGCGGAAGCAGGGUGCAGCAACGCCGGGUGGGGGAUGACGGCCUUCGGGUUGUAACCAGCUUUAGCCUGUGAAGAAGAGCGAGUGACGGUAAUGAGUAAAGAAGCAACGGCUAACUACGUG
rnacentral:rRNA from 1 species